rfam:Cricetulus griseus cell line CHO-K1, whole genome shotgun sequence.
GGAAAGAUGGCUCAGUGGUUAAGAGCACUGGCUGCUCUUCCAGAGGUCCUGAGUUCAAUUCCCAGUAACUACA